ACCUGAUUGAUCCUGCCAGUAGUCAUAUGCUUGUCUCAGAGCUUAAGCCAUGCAAGUGUAAUUUCACGCCAUGCAUUAGACAGUGCGUAAACGCGAAUAGCUCAUGAAUCAGACCUAAUCAUCAGGAACGUAAUCCUCCUUGGGGGUGAUAAAUAACUGUGGCCAUUCUAGAACAAAUACGUGUAAAACAGUCCGCUAUCGGUCGGCGAAUUGUCGUCGCCUGCCGUCAGGCGCGUGGCCACCAUCGUUGAUAUUUAUGGGUCGCGGUGCCACAUAUUACACUGAGAGCGAUGCGCGUCAUUCCUUCAUCUCAACGUCGUCGUUUCUCUCCGGGCAAUCGCCCAUAGUUCUAUGGCGGGGCCGAAGGGCUGGGCCGAAGGGCGGGGCCGAAGGGCGGUGCCCUCCGUUCUAAUCACUGGUUAACUCACUGGUCGAUCGCACUGUUUUUUACGCCUGGAGACGGGUAUCUCGAUGGUCCGCCCUAUCAACUGUCGACGGUCGGUUGUGCUUACCAUGGUCAUUACGGGUAACAGGGAAUCGGGGUUCGAUUCCGGAGAGGGAGCAUGCGAAACGACUACCACGUCCAAGGAAGGCAGCAGACGCGCAAAUUACCCACUGCCGGCACGGGGAGUGAGUGACGAAAAAUAACGACACGGGACUCUGUCAAGGCAUCGCGAUCAGAAUGAGUACACUUCAAAUCAGUUACCGAGGAUCAACAAGAUGGCAAGUCUGUUGCGAGCAGCACAGGUAAUUCCGACUCCGGUAGUAUAUAUUAAAGAUGUUGCGGUUAAACAUUUUGUAGUCCGAAGUCGGGUUCG